UACGUAGGGGGCAAGCGUUGUCCGGAAUUAUUGGGCGUAAAGAGCGCGUAGGCGGUCCGAUAAGUCGGCUGUGAAAGUCAGGGGCUCAACCCUUGAAAGCCGGCCGAUACUGUCGGACUAGAGUCCGGAAGAGGCGAGUGGAAUUCCCGGUGUAGCGGUGAAAUGCGCAGAUAUCAGGAGGAACACCGGUGGCGAAGGCAGGUCUCUGGGCCGUAACUGACGCUGAGGAGCGAAAGCAUGGGGAGCGAACAGG
rnacentral:rRNA from 1 species